rnacentral:rRNA from 1 species
GUUGUAUAGUUAAGUGACUAAGCGUACACGGUGGAUGCCUAGGCGGUAGAAGGCGACGAAGGACGUAGUAACUUGCGAUAAGCCACGGGGAGUGAGUAAACACGCUUUGAUCCGUGGAUUUCCGAAUGGGAAAACCCAUCCUUAUUAAGGAUAUCCCUAUAUGGGAGGCUAACCUGGAGAACUGAAACAUCUAAGUACCCAGAGGAAAAGAAAUCAACCGAGAUUCCCCAAGUAGCGGCGAGCGAACGGGGACCAGCCCUAAAGCAUUUAUUAAGAUAGCAGAACACUCUGGAAAGAGUGACGACACAAGGUGAUAGUCCUGUAUGCGAAAUCUUAUUAAGUGUUAUUCGAGUAGGACGGAACACGUGAAAUUCUGUCUGAACAUGGGGGGACCACCCUCCAAGGCUAAAUACUCUCUACCGACCGAUAGUGAACCAGUACCGUGAGGGAAAGGCGAAAAGAACCCCAGAAGGGGAGUGAAAUAGAACCUGAAACCGUGUACGUACAAGCAGUAGGAGCCCCUCAUUAAAGCAUCUUUGCUUUAGUGAGGAAAAGUUAAAUCUUAACUUAACGCAUUAAAGAAAAAUAGCGAAGCAAUGGCAAAACAGGUUGGACUUAUAUUUUGACCCGUAGCGCAAUGUGCCUAAAAGCACAUGAGCAACGGAAGCAAAAUAAAAGUCCAAGAUGUACAGCCAAUGCAAGCGGAAGGUUCUUUAAUGAGGGGUGACUGCGUACCUUUUGUAUAAUGGGUCAGCGACUUACAUUAUGUAGCGAGGUUAACUGAAUAAGGGAGCCGAAGGGAAACCGAGUCUUAAAUGGGCGACUAGUUGCAUGGUGUAGACCCGAAACCGGGCGAUCUAUCCAUGGCCAGGUUGAAGGUGCCGUAACAGGUACUGGAGGACCGAACCCACGUAUGUUGAAAAAUGCGGGGAUGAGCUGUGGAUCGGAGUGAAAGGCUAAUCAAGCCCGGAGAUAGCUGGUUCUCCUCGAAAACUAUUUAGGUAGUGCCUCAUGUAUCACUGUUGGGGGUAGAGCACUGUUAUGGUCUAGCGGGCCGUCAAGGCUUAGCAGCCCAUUGCAAACUCCGAAUACCAACAAGUGCAAUCAUGGGAGACAGACAGCGGGUGCUAACGUCCGUUGUCAAGAGGGAAACAACCCAGACCACCAGCUAAGGUCCCUAAACACUACUCAGUGGGAAAGGAUGUGGGAAGGCUUAGACAGUCAGGAGGUUGGCUUAGAAGCAGCCACCCUUUAAAGAAAGCGUAAUAGCUCACUGAUCGAGUCGGCCUGCGCCGAAGAUUUAACGGGGCUAAGUAGUGUACCGAAGCUGUGGAUGCGUGCAUUCUCUUAAAAUUAUUUAUCAAGCUGUCGCAACUUGUUGCGACAAAGCAACCCAAACUGAUCGAUACUGAUCCGCAUGGAAGCCGCAAUUAGAACUUUCAAAAAGUUAUGAGAGCGACAAGUUGCGACAAAGCAACCCAAAUGGAUCGAGAGGUUUGGGAGGAGAUGAGUUGUUUUAAGUGAAUGCACGCAUGGUAGAGGAGCGUCGUGUAAGCCUGCGAAGGGGCUCUGUAAGGAGUCCUGGAGGUAUCACGAGUGCGAAUGCUGACAUGAGUAGCGAUAAAGGGAGUGAAAAGCUCCCUCGCCGAAAGACCAAGGUUUCCUACGCAACGCUAAUCGACGUAGGGUUAGUCGACCCCUAAGACGAGGCCGAAAGGCGUAGUCGAUGGGAAGCAGGUUAAUAUUCCUGCACUUUUUAUAACUGCGAUGGAGGGACGGAGAAGGCUAAACUAGCUUGCUGAUGGUUGCAAGUUUAAGGUAGUAGGCAGAGAUCUUAGGCAAAUCCGGGAUCUUAAUGCUGAGAACUGAUGACGAGUCCUGAAUUGGACGAAGUAGUUGAUGCCAUGCUUCCAAGAAAAGCUUCUAAGCUUCAGGUUAUAAAGAAUCGUACCCCAAACCAACACAGGUGGUCAGGAUGAGAAUUCCAAGGCGCUUGAGAGAACUCGGGUGAAGGAACUAGGCAAAAUAACACCGUAACUUCGGGAGAAGGUGUGCCCCUGAUGGUGAAGCACUUGCUGCGUAAGCUAUUAGGGGUUGCAGAGACCAGGUGGCUGCAACUGUUUACUAAAAACAUAGCACUGUGCAAAAUCGAAAGAUGACGUAUACGGUGUGACGCCUGCCCGGUGCCGGAAGGUUAAUUGAUGGGGUUAGCUUAUGCGAAGCUCUUGAUCGAAGCCCCGGUAAACGGCGGCCGUAACUAUAACGGUCCUAAGGUAGCGAAAUUCCUUGUCGGGUAAGUUCCGACCUGCACGAAUGGCGUAAUGAUGGCCACACUGUCUCCACCCGAGACUCAGCGAAAUUGAACUCGCAGUUAAGAUGCUGCGUACCCGCGGCUAGACGGAAAGACCCCGUGAACCUUUACUACAGCUUUGCACUGGACUUUGAUACUAUCUGUGUAGGAUAGGUGGGAGGCUAAGAAGCAGUGACGCCAGUCAUUGUGGAGCCAAUCUUGAAAUACCACCCUGAUAUUAUUGAGGUUCUAACCUAGACCAGUGAAUCCUGGUCAGGGACAGUGUAUGGUGGGUAGUUUGACUGGGGCGGUCUCCUCCUAAAGAGUAACGGAGGAGCGCGAAGGUACCCUCAGCACGGUCGGACAUCGUGCAAUGAGCGCAAGAGUAAAAGGGUGCUUGACUGCGAGACAGACACGUCGAGCAGGUGCGAAAGCAGGUUCUAGUGAUCCGGUGGUUCUGUGUGGAAGGGCCAUCGCUCAACGGAUAAAAGGUACUCCGGGGAUAACAGGCUGAUACCGCCCAAGAGUUCAUAUCGACGGCGGUGUUUGGCACCU